UACGGAGGGUGCAAGCGUUAUCCGGAAUCACUGGGUUUAAAGGGUGCGUAGGUGGACUAGUAAGUCAGAGGUGAAAUCCCGUCGCUUAACGACGGAACUGCCUUUGAUACUGCUUGUCUUGAAUCAGGUUGAGGUAUGCGGAAUGUGGCAUGUAGCGGUGAAAUGCGUAGAUAUGCCAUAGAACACCGAUUGCGAAGGCAGCAUACUGGCCCUGUAUUGACACUGAGGCACGAAAGCGUGGGGAGCGAAC
rnacentral:rRNA from 1 species